GACGGGUGAGUAACACGUGAGCAACCUGCCUUUCAGAGUGGAAUAACGUUUGGAAACGAACGCUAAUACCGCAUAACGUCAGAGGAUGGCAUCAUUCUUUGACCAAAGAUUUAUCGCUGAAAGAUGGGCUCGCGGCCGAUUAGGUAGUUGGUGAGAUAAUAGCCCACCAAGCCGACGAUCGGUAGCCGGACUGAGAGGUUGAACGGCCACAUUGGGACUGAGACACGGCCCAGACUCCUACGGGAGGCAGCAGUGGGGGAUAUUGCACAAUGGGGGAAACCCUGAUGCAGCGACGCCGCGUGAGGGAAGACGGCCUUCGGGUUGUAAACCUCUGUCUUCGGGGACGAAUAAAUGACGGUACCCGAGGAGGAAGCCACGGCUAACUACGUGCCAGCAGCCGCGGUAAUACGUAGGUGGCAAGCGUUGUCCGGAAUUACUGGGUGUAAAGGGAGCGUAGGCGGGGAGGCAAGUUGAAUGUCUAAACUAUCGGCUCAACUGAUAGUCGCGUUCAAAACUGCCACUCUUGAGUGCAGUAGAGGUAGGCGGAAUUCCUAGUGUAGCGGUGAAAUGCGUAGAUAUUAGGAGGAACACCAGUGGCGAAGGCGGCCUACUGGGCUGUAACUGACGCUGAGGCUCGAAAGCGUGGGUAGCAAACAGGAUUAGAUACCCUGGUAGUCCACGCCGUAAACGAUGAUUACUAGGUGUGGGGGGACUGACCCCUUCCGUGCCGGAGUUAACACAAUAAGUAAUCCACCUGGGGAGUACGGCCGCA
rnacentral:rRNA from 1 species